CCAUAGCUCAGUUGUUAGAGCAUGAGACUCUUAAUCUCACGGUCAUGGGUCCGAGCUCCACCGCAGGAGGU